rnacentral:rRNA from 1 species
UACGUAGGGUGCGAGCGUUGCCCGGAUUUAUUGGGCGUAAAGGGCGCGUAGGCGGUCACGCACGUCCGUUGUGAAAUCGCUCGGCUCAACUGGGCGGGGUCAGCGGAUACGGCGUGGCUGGAGCAAGCUAGGGGGCAAUGGAAUUCCCGGUGUAGUGGUGGAAUGCGCAGAUAUCGGGAGGAACACCAGUGGCGAAGGCGGUUGCCUGGAGCUUUGCUGACGCUGAGGCGCGAAAGCGUGGGGAGCGAUCCGG